rnacentral:lncRNA from 1 species
UUUAACUUCACGGAAAGGACCCGGGGCUCUGUGGCUUCCCAUCCGUCUUGUGACCCGGAAUCAUGGUGAUCUAAAAGAGCCCUGUGACUCUGGGAAAUUUGUUAUCAAAGGAUGUUAGCCACAAGUCCUGUUGGCAAAUGGACCCCAGGUGGCCUGCAGUGCCAAGCUGUUUCCCUGCCAGCCUCCCAGUCUGGCCCUGACUCUCCAAUUCAAUGAAGAGCCAUUGGAGGAUUUUAAAUAAGGAACCGAAAAAUGGAGUCUGAAAAUAGAGGCGCAGAGACCGGUCAACCACAAUGAAGAACAAGCCAUUUUGACCUCCAUCCUGGCUCAUCUCCUCUGUGUUCUCAUAGCAUCAUAUUAUAGAAUGGAUCACAAACGCCUUUGCAGUUGCCUAUUUAUUUGUCCAUUUCUCCCUCCAGACUGUUCUUCCCCAAACCAUCAUGGACCAGUUGGACUCUGAGAAGAAAAGUUUCUGAUCUUUAGUUCAUUCUUCCAACUCUCUAGAAAGCAGGAAAACUGAGAAUGAAAAAUUCUAAAUUACUCAGGACUCAUGGGUUGCCAAUAGAAGAAAUACAUCUUAAACUAGCUUAAGCCUGAAAGGGAAAUGUAUUUGUUCAUGUAACUGAACCAUAACGAAGGAUGGUGGACUGAGGGACCUGAAAACACCCUCAGGACUCCCUCCCUCUCCUUUGUGCUCCUGUCUGAUGCCGUCUUCCCAGACCUGCUCACUCUCCAUAAGGUGGGGAUGUGGCCAUCAGCAACGUGUACUUCCCCGAAGCUUGUGACCUGAGUAGAUAGGCAUCUCCCAACCCACAAGGAUUGAAAAGUUCCUCUAGGAAUUAUGUGGAUUGGCCCAUUCACUAUGACAUGUUCCCCCUAAGCAGCUAAAGGAACUGGGUCUGUUACCAGAAGAGGUGGGAGAGGGGUGCUAGGCAGAUUGAACAACAGCCACUACAACAUCUGAGGAGGAGACCUCCGUGAAGGCCACCAAGUCUGCUAGCAGAUAUUUCCUCCCUCGGAUCUCUCUCCCUGUCCUCACAGUCUCAUAAGUGAGGAUUAAAUACUACAUGUGGCCUAGGAGAUCUUAGACCCUCCACACGAAGAUAUAGUAACAAUCAACAUCCUAGUGUUCUGGCAGAGAAAAAAUCAGAAAGAAUCGUUUGCCUGAUUUUUCCAUCAAUACCAAUAAUUAAUUAGAGAUGAAAUUUGUGAUGGACUCAGAGAAUUAGAGAAGAUCUAAGGGAAUCUAGAUGAUUUCCUACCCCUAACCAGAGCCUCACAAAAAAGGGUGAAGAUCUAUGGCCGUCUUGCGUUUGGUGUGAGGCUGGACAAGGAAGUUCCUAAGGUCCUUUAGACUCUGUGAGAUCAUGAGUCCGUAAAACCCUUCCAACUUGAAAUUAGUUGAUUCCUUCCUUAAAUUUUCUGGGACAUUCCCCCACUCCCUCCACUCUUAUUAGCUGAUUUUACUGACCAAUAGGCCUUGAAGUUGGGCGUUCCAUCUAGAUGUCUCACAUCAACUCACCUUUUGCAAAUUAAGCCCAUACCCUUAAAGAGGGGAAUUCUCAAGCCAUUAGAAACUAGAGAGUCAGCUGGGCAUGGUGGCUCACGCCUGUAAUCCCAGAACUUUGGGAGGCCAAGGUGGGUGGAUCACUUGAGGUCAGGAGUUCGAGUCCAGCCUGACCAACAUGGCGAAACCCCGUCUCUACUAAAAAUACAAAAAUUAGCCAGGGGUGAUGGCAUGCACCUGUAAUCCCAGCUACUCAGGAGGCUGAGGCAGGAGAAUUGCUUGAACCUGGGAGGCGGAGGUUGCAGUGAGCCAAGUUUGCACCACAGCACUCCAGCCUGGGCAACAGAGUGAGACUCAGUUUCAAAAAACAAAAGAACAAACAAACAAAAACUAGAGGGUCUCCUCUUAGUUCUUAAACCCUCUUAGUCAACAUUUGUGAGCCUCUUUUCUGUAUGUUUUGGCAUCUUUAUUCCUUUCCUUCGUGUCUUGACCAAAUUCACCAGAUCAUGACUCAGAACAAAAUCCUGAGGUUGAAUAUAGAGGUCUAGAACAUCUUCAAAUUAACUGUUUCUCCUCAUAGAGAAUUAAAGAAAUUGAGAAAGCAAGAG